CAUUUUUCUUCAUCCAGCUUGGAGACAGAAUGGGGUAGGAAGAGGGCAUACAUUUCAGACUGCUUGGGACCCCACUGAAAAUCAGACUGUUCAACUCACCUGGCAGCCACUCCCAGAGCCUCUGGAAUGCUGGCCCAAGGCUCUCUGACUGACUCCUUCCCAGAUCUUCUCGGCUUCGUGGCUGAAGACUGACACUGCCCGAUCGCCUCGGAAGCCCCCUAGACCAUCAGGACACCAAGUUUUGAGUAACUCUCACAGUGGAAAGUGAGAAAAUUUAGGUGAAGUAAGCAAAGUGACCUCAUAAUGUCAAAAAACUGGGAAGCGACAGAACAGAAAUUUGGAGAUUGACUUGAACCUAAAAGGGAC